AGAGUUUGAUCCUGGCUCAGAGCGAACGCUGGCGGCAGGCCUAACACAUGCAAGUCGAACGAGCCUUCGGGCUAGUGGCGGACGGGUGAGUAACACGUGGGAACGUACCUUUAGGUUCGGAACAACACAGGGAAACUUGUGCUAAUACCGAAUGUGCCCUUCGGGGGAAAGAUUUAUCGCCUUUAGAGCGGCCCGCGUUAGAUUAGCUAGUUGGUGAGGUAAAGGCUCACCAAGGCUACGAUCUAUAGCUGGUCUGAGAGGAUGAUCAGCCACAUUGGGACUGAGACACGGCCCAAACUCCUACGGGAGGCAGCAGUGGGGAAUCUUGCGCAAUGGUCGAAAGACUGACGCAGCCAUGCCGCGUGAAUGAUGAAGGUCUUAGGAUUGUAAAAUUCUUUCAGCAGGGACGAUAAUGACGGUACCUGCAGAAGAAGCCCCGGCUAACUUCGUGCCAGCAGCCGCGGUAAUACGAAGGGGGCUAGCGUUGCUCGGAAUUACUGGGCGUAAAGGGAGCGUAGGCGGGUUAUCAAGUUGGAGGUGAAAGCCCAGGGCUCAACCUUGGAAUUGCCUUCAAAACUGAUAGCCUAGAGUAUGAUGGAGGUAAGUGGAACUCCGAGUGUAGAGGUGAAAUUCGUAGAUAUUCGGAAGAACACCAGUGGCGAAGGCGACUUACUGGAUCAUGACUGACGCUGAGGCUCGAAAGCGUGGGGAGCAAACAGGAUUAGAUACCCUGGUAGUCCACGCUGUAAACGAUGAUUGCUGGUUGUCAGCCGGCAUGCCGGUUGGUGACGCAGCUAACGCAUUAAGCAAUCCGCCUGGGGAGUACGGUCGCAAGAUUAAAACUCAAAGGAAUUGGACGG
rnacentral:rRNA from 1 species